rnacentral:rRNA from 1 species
CCUACGGGGGGCUGCAGUAGGGAAUAUUAGUAAUGGGCGAAAGCCUGAACUAGCGACACCGCGUGUGCGAAGAAGGCCUUCGGGUUGUAAAGCACUUUUAGAGAGGAUGAGGAAGGACGGUACUCUCUGAAUAAGUCUCGGCUAACUACGUGCCAGCAGCCGCGGUAACACGUAGGAGGCAAACGUUAUCCGGAUUUACUGGGCGUAAAGCGCGUGUAGGUGGUUCUGUAAGUAGGGCGUGAAAGCUCCUGGCUCAACUGGGAGAGGCCGUUCUAAACUGCAGAGCUAGAGGAUGGUAGAGGAAGGUGGAAUUCCGGGUGUAGCGGUGGAAUGCGCAGAUAUCCGGAGGAACACCAGUGGCGAAGGCGGCCUUCUGGACCAUUCCUGACACUCAGACGCGAAAGCUAGGGUAGCAAACGGGAUUAGAUACCCGAGUAGUC